rnacentral:rRNA from 1 species
UAAUACUCCAUAGUUCGUUAUUACUGGAAUGUUUUUCGAACGAAAGAUCCGUCGCUUCAGGAUGAGUCUGCGGCCGAUUAGGUAGUUGUUGGGGUAAUUGCCCAACAAGCCUGUAAUCGGUACGGGUUGUGGGAGCAAGAGCCCGGAGAUGGAUUCUGAGACACGAAUCCAGGCCCUACGGGGCGCAGCAGGCGCGAAAACUUUACCAUGCGGGCAACCGUGAUAAGGAAACCCCGAGUGCCAGCACAGGCUGGCUGUCCGCCAGUUUAAACAACUGGCGAAGAAAGGGCCGGGCAAGACCGGUGCCAGCCGCCGCGGUAAUACCGGCGGCUCGAGUGGUGGCCGCUAUUACUGGGCUUAAAGGGUCCGUAGCUUGAUAAUAGGGUCCCUUGAGAAAUCCGCCGGCUUAACUGGCGGGCGUUCAGGGGAAACUUGUUUUCUAGGGACCGGGAGAGGUGAGGGGUACUGCCGGGGUAGGAGUGAAAUCCUGUAAUCCCGGUGGGGCCACCUAUGGCGAAGGCAUCUCACCAGAACGGGUCCGACAGUGAGGGACGAAAGCUGGGGGAGCAAACCGGAUUAGAUACCCGGGUAGUCCCAGCUGUAAACUAUGUGCGUUAGGUGUGU